rnacentral:rRNA from 1 species
CGCGGGGCAACCUGGCGGCGAGUGGCGAACGGGUGAGUAAUAUAUCGGAACGUACCCUGGAGUGGGGGAUAACGUAGCGAAAGUUACGCUAAUACCGCAUACGAUCUAAGGAUGAAAGUGGGGGAUUCGCAAGAACCUCAUGCUCCUGGAGCGGCCGAUGCCGGAUUAGCUAGUUGGUGGGGUAAAAGCCUACCAAGGCGACGAUCCGUAGCUGGUAUGGGAGUACGACCAGCCACACUGGGACUGAGACACGGCCCAGACUCCUACGGGAGGCAGCAGUGGGGAAUUUUGGACAAUGGGGGCAACCCUGAUCCAGCCAUGCCGCGUGUGUGAAGAAGGCCUUCGGG